UACGGGGGGAGCAAGCGUUGUUCGGAUUUACUGGGCGUAAAGGGCGCGUAGGCGGUCAGCACAAGUCAGUUGUGAAAUCUCCGGGCUUAACCCGGAAAGGUCAACUGAUACUGUGCGACUAGAGUGCGGAAGGGGCAACUGGAAUUCUUGGUGUAGCGGUGAAAUGCGUAGAUAUCAAGAGGAACACCUGAGGUGAAGACGGGUUGCUGGGCUGACACUGACGCUGAGGCGCGAAAGCCAGGGGAGCAAACGGG
rnacentral:rRNA from 1 species